rnacentral:rRNA from 1 species
UACGUAGGGUGCAAGCGUUGUCCGGAAUUAUUGGGCGUAAAGAGCUCGUAGGCGGUGUGUCGCGUCGGUCGUGAAAACUUGGGGCUUAACCCUGAGCUUGCGGUCGAUACGGGCAUCACUUGAGUUCGGCAGGGGAGACUGGAACUCCUGGUGUAGCGGUGAAAUGCGCAGAUAUCAGGAAGAACACCGGUGGCGAAGGCGGGUCUCUGGGCCGAUACUGACGCUGAGGAGCGAAAGCGUGGGGAGCGAACAGG